rnacentral:rRNA from 1 species
CACCGCGGUUAUACGAGAAGCCCAAGUUGAUAGUUACCGGCGUAAAGAGUGGUUAAAUUUACCCUUAAAACUAAAGCCGAACAUCUCCAAAGUUGUGUAACACUCUCGAAGAUAUGAAGCCCAACCACGAAAGUGGCUUUACCCUCUUUGAACCCACGAAAGCUAGGAAA